rnacentral:lncRNA from 1 species
CCCGAAAAAACGGCACCCCCAGCUCUGUAAACUCAUUGCAGAAUAUAUCUCUCGUUAGAGUACGAAAGGCUAAAGCGCAACAUCAGGCCAACAGCCAGAAGAGUUAUCCGCCCAGAACAGCUAAAAGAUAAUCGUUGAAUCCGUCCUAAUGGAGCUUUCUGAAGAUGCUGAGGGGAAUAGAUGAUUGGGAAAACGCGUGCAGCCAGUCCCCAUCACACUAUUGUCGACCUGACAGACCCCAAAGAAGGAUCACGGAUGCUUCAUGUACUCUGAACGAUGACAUAGAUGCUAUUCUCCCGUUCUGUUCGAACGGCUUUUCAAACGCACCGAGAAUCGCCACAUUACCUCCCCCAGGAACCAAGCUCCAUAUUUCCGACCCAAACAAACAAUGCACAACUUGUGCGCAAGUGCAAUGCGCAGAAUCACCCCGGCCCGAAAAGUGUUCUGGGACGGAAACUUACUGCUUCAAGAAACGGGGCUACAUGGACAAGACUCCAACGAGACAUGCCCUGCAGAAUCUGGAAGGCCUGGUGAAAAAUGUCUAGAGCCCAAGGCUUCCGCGAUUCGUUAGAACAGCCCGUGUCAAAAAAAGCAGAGACUCCUCCCCGGCGUAUAAUGGCUCAGAAGACCAUACACACCGAGAGCACGCGGAGGAUUUCGGCGCGCCUGACAUUCCCAAUAAAACAACGAAACCGGAUGAUUUCACUGUUUUAAAUGACAUUCCAGAGGUAGACGACUGGAUAUUCUGUGACGCUGCCAACCUUAUUGAUUCCUCCAAAUCUUAUGUAGAAACACCCAAACCUGAAAUAGACCAAGCUAGGUUUAUCAAUGCCUUUUCCAGGGCUCUAAAAUCCAGAAAUGUCUUGCUACACAAACGAAUGGUGGAUUUACUCGAGCGGCAAUACAGUCAGGAUCUAUCCUUUUGGCGUAGAACAAUGCUCCGUUUGUUAACUUCUAUGGGCUACGUGGGACGCUAGCGUCCCACCUGCGGGACACAGCCAGUGAAAUAUCAGGGCGGCAAAUUCAAAACAACAAAAUCUCAUAAUUCAAAUUUCUCAAACAUACGACUAUUGUACACCAUUUUAAAGAUACACUUCUCCUUAAUGUAACCACACUGUCCGAUUUCAAAAAGGCUUUACAGCAAAAGCAAAACAUUAGAUUAUGUUAGGAGAGUACAUAGACAAAAAUAACCACACAGCCAUUUUCCAAGCAAGGAUAUAUGUCACAAAAACCCAAAACACAGCUAAAUGAAGCACUAACCUUUGACGAUCUUCAUCAGAUGACACUCCUAGGACAUCAUGUUACACAAUACAUGUUUUGUUCGAUAAAGUUCAUAUCUAUAUCCAAAAACAGCAUUUUAGAUUGGCGCGUGAUGUUCUGAAAAUGUAUUCCCACCAAAACCUCCGGUGAAUGUGCACAUCAAUUUACAAAAAUACUCAUCAUAAACGUUGACAAAAUACAUAACAAUUAUUUUAAGAAUUAUAGAUACAGUACUCCUUUAUGCAACCGCUGUGUCAGAUUUUAAAUAGCUUUUCGGUGAAAUCACAUUUUUCAAUAUUCUGAGUACAUAGCUCGCCAUCAAAGCAAGCUAUACAGACACCCGCCAAGUUCUGGGGUUACCUAAACUCAGAAUUAGUAUUAUAAAUAUCCUCUUACCUUUGCUGAUCUUCGUCAGAAUGCACUCCCAGGACUGCUACUUCCACAAGAAAUGUUGUUUUUGUUCGAAAUAAUCCAUAUUUAUGUCCCAAUACCUCCCGCCGACCAGAUCGAAAUAAUUAAACAUAUGAACGAGUCCGGGACGACCGAUGAAAACCAAUUACCCCAGGGACGGCAACCCCUGGGUGGUGGGGAGCAGAGAAGGAAACUAGAUAGCCUAAUGCAAUCAGAAAUCAUAAUCAAUAAAAGGGCAUGCCUCAUAAAUGUUCACAAUCCCGGUAAUAAGCUAUGCUUUGCAAUAGGCCUAGCACAUUUACUCAACCCUGGAUGUACGGAUCUAGAGGCAUUACAAAAGGCUAGAGAGCUUCAAAAUGCUGUCGGUCUGGGCAUGCAGGAUGCUGUGGCAUUCUCUGACAUAGUCAAAUUUGAAAACUUUCUGAACAUCAAGAUUGUGGUUUUGUACCACAGUAGAGCUAAUGCAGCUCUCUUCAAAUUCCAAAACAACCCACAACCACAACCUCAUCAUCAGAUUCUGUACUUUUAUGUGCAAAACGACCAUUAUUAUGCUGUUACCAACAUCGGUGCGUUUUUAGGCGCACCUUAUGUGUGUCCAGCCUGUCAUACCGGCUACACCCGAAGGGGGGGCACUCGUGCCGUUAUAACUGUUCCGUAUGUCUGGAUGAAAAUUGUCCGAUGCAGCCCUUAAACCUGAUACCCUGUGAGGAUUGUCACAGGACAUGUCGUUCGGCCUACUGUUACGAAAAACACAAAAUUGAAACAUGGCACCCCAAGGCCUGUAAAUCUGUAAGCAGUUGUGACAUUAACAAGAAAUGUCCAAAAUGUCAAUGCAAUUACAACCUUAAAAUAGACAGCCCUAAACCUCAUGUGUGUAGAAUCAUACAUUGCCCAAUCUGUAAAGGGCCUUUGAAAAGCAGAGACUCUGAAGUGGUUCAAGAAGUGCCACACGAGUGCUAUAUUCAACCCUUGGCUGAAGAUGAACAUUCAGAGAAAUACGUUUUUUAUGAUUUUGAGACUAAUCAACAAUCAGGGGUUCAUUUGCCUAUUUUUGUAUCUACCAUGACUUUCAAGGAGGAUAAGUGGUCAGCAGAGGGACCCAAUUGUGCACUCCUCUUUCUAAAACACUUCAGAAAACCCCAGUACAGAAACUUCACGUUUAUAGCGCACAAUUCUAGAGCUUAUGAUUCAUACCUUCUUUUAAACCCUCUGAUACAGCAAGGCGUUGCACCCAGUGUCAUAGCUCAAGGUAGUAAAAUCUUGUGUUUUGUAGACCCCGCUUUCAACCAGAGAUAUAGUGACAGUUUAAGCUUCUUACCCAUGAGAUUGGCUCAAAUGCCUGAGGCCUUGGGUUUUGAGAACUCUGUGAAAGGUUGGUUUCCCCAUUUUUUUACAUCAUAGCAUUUGUAGUCUAAAAUGUAUCUAACAAACAAUUACAAUGGCAAAAUCACAAUAAUCACAAGAAGAGUGUGCGGCUUUCCCUUAUUUUCUAGUUUUCUACUCCGCUAGCCAGCACCUCGCCUUUAUAGGUGUGCGUUUCUUUUUUCUAGAUUAAUCCAUAUCGUAUCACCAUCAUAAUUACAUUAAACAUAAUUUUAAUAGAAAAACACAUCCCAGCAUUUCCAUAGUAAUUGACGUUUCACAUGAUUAUGAAAGAGACAUUGCAUUACUACAGAGUUGGCUUCACUACAGUACAAAUGUAUCCCGUACAAUAUGCUAUUAUUCCCCAACAUCCCUGUUCUGAUAUCUUUCCAUUGCUUGAUGUAAAAAUAGAUAAACAUGUGGACAAAGACAUACAAAAGAAAGACAAACAAAUAACAUAGAAUUAUAGAAAAGUUAUUGAUUAUAAAGAGAGGAGAGAGGGAGAGAAGAGAGAGAAGAUGAGAGAAGAGAGCGAGAUCAAGUGUGUGUGUGUGUGUCCAUCCGUAUGUGUAAGCGAGCAUGUAAUUGAGUGUGUGUGUGGGCGUAUAAACUUCAUAGUGUUCAGAUAUUUUUACGGUCCCCAUUAUUUUCCCCGUGGAAUUUAGUACAGCCAUGGUGUUAUGGAGCUGUCUCUGAAGAGCUGUCGGUCUAUAAGGAGUUGAACUGUAACUCUUGAACUGU